rnacentral:rRNA from 1 species
UAGCAUGAAGUCAGACAAG